rnacentral:rRNA from 1 species
ACGGGUGAGUAACGCGUGGGAAUCUACCUAGUUCUACGGAACAACACACGGAAACUUGUGCUAAUACCGUAUACGCCCUACGGGGGAAAGAUUUAUCGGAAUUACAUGAGCCCGCGUAAGAUUACCUAGUUGGUGGGGUAAUGGCCUACCAAGGCGACGAUCUUUAGCUGGUCUGAGAGGAUGAUCAGCCACACUGGGACUGAGACACGGCCCAGACUCCUACGGGAGGCAUCACUGGGGAAUAUUGAACAAUGGGCGCAUGCCUGAUCCAGCCAUGCCGCGGGAGUGAUGAAGGCCUUAGGGUUGUAAAGCUCUUUCGUUAUGGAAGAUAAUGACGGUACCUACAGAAGAAGCCCCGGCUAACUUCGUGCCAGCAGCCGCGGUAAUACGAAGGGGGCUAGCGUUGUUCGGAUUUACUGGGCGUAAAGCGCACGUAGGCGGAUUGUUAGUCCCGGGGGUAAAAUCCUGGAGCUCAACUCCAGAACUGCCUUCGAUACUGGCAAUCUCGAGUCCGGAAGAGGUGAGUGGAACUCCUAGUGUAGAGGUGGAAUUCGUAGA